GGCAUCAGAGCAGGUCAUUUUGUUAGCAGAUGGAAGGCAAGCGACUCAGCCAUUGAACCCCCACCCCCGCUUUGAGUACCCAGACGCCUGGACCUAGGACAUCAUCCUCAGUAAAGGAAAUUGAGGCUUUGUGGAGUUAAGUGACUUGCCCGCAAAAGCUAGAUCUGUUUACUGGUAUGGCGACCCCUGGAUGGGAAUCUACCUGUGGUCCACCAUCAGCAGACCACAGAUGGCAUUGUUUGCAAUGAAGAGAAAUGUAGAUAAGAGGAAAGAUGCAGUGACUUACUUGGAUUUUCUAUAUAAAUCAUCACAGCACCUGAAAGCACAGGGCUGUAUCUGGGGAGGCCCAAGAAAGCCAGAGAAAAGAGGCCAGGCUCUCCAGGACUGGUGAGAUGCUCCACCAUCAGAGGCUCUGCCCAUUGGGCUCCUGGCUAGACCAAGAGGACAACACAUGAGACAGAUAAAGUUCUGAUUCUGACCAGGAUUCUUCGGUGUUGAGAUGGAACUUUGGAUCUGCAGCAACUCAACCCUAAACAUCUUGCUACCAGCUUGAGGGCAAGGCCAGGACCAAAGAUAGUAGACCAGAAAGAUGGAGAACACUCAUAUCUCUGAUGUCAUUUGCUGGAUGAAUUGUAACUAAAACCUAUUUUAUUUUGGCUUGAGUUAGGAUUCCUAUCACUUGCAGCCAAAUGCACCAUAAUUUAGUAUGGCUCUCUGAGGACAAGACAACCUGGAACUCAAAGCACCUGAAUAGAAAAACCUUAGCUCAAUCAAUGAGGCAUAGUGUACUUUAGUUGAGUUUUCAAUGAAUGUUUUAUUGGCAGGAACUAGAAAAUAGUCAGGAUUCUACAUUGUAUAAAUUAUAACCAUUGCUUAUAAUCAGGCUUAGCCAAUUGAUUUCAAGGAGAUACUAUCCUCUUGUCUAAAUGGGGCUGGACAUUUUCCACUAAUCCAGAGGAAGGAUGGUUAUUGUAACCACAAAGGAAACUAACAACAUUAAGUGAUACAUGAAAGUAAAUCACAUUGGCUUAGAAUAAUUUGCCUUUUCCAAUUCUUAAAGAAAAGGAGAGAAACUAAUCUUUAUUGAGU
ensembl:lncRNA